GGGGGGGGGCAAGCGUUGUUCGGAAUUACUGGGCGUAAAGGGCGCGCAGGCGGGCGGGAAAGGUCUCUCGUGAAAUCCCACGGGCUCAACCGCGGAAUUGCGGGAGAUACUACUCGUCUUGAGUUCGGGAGAGGAGUGUGGAAUUCCCAGUGUAGCGGUGAAAUGCGUAGAUAUUGGGAGGAACACCGGUGGCGAAGGCGGCACUCUGGACCGAUACUGACGCUGAGGCGCGAAAGCUAGGGGAGCAAACGGGAUUAGAUACCCCGGUAGUCCUAGCUGUAAACGCUGAGCACUUGGUGUAGCGGGUAUCGACCCCUGCUGUGCCGAAGCUAACGCAUUAAGUGCUCCGCCUGGGGAGUACGGUCGCAAAGGCUG
rnacentral:rRNA from 1 species